rnacentral:rRNA from 1 species
GAUGAACGCUGGCGGCGUGCCUAAUACAUGCAAGUCGAGCGAACAGAUAAGGAGCUUGCUCCUUUGACGUUAGCGGCGGACGGGUGAGUAACACGUGGGUAACCUACCUAUAAGACUGGAAUAACUCCGGGAAACCGGGGCUAAUGCCGGAUAAUAUUUAGAACCGCAUGGUUCUAAAGUGAAAGAUGGUUUUGCUAUCACUUAUAGAUGGACCCGCGCCGUAUUAGCUAGUUGGUGGGGUAAUGGCUUACCAAGGCAACGAUACGUAGCCGACCUGAGAGGGUGAUCGGCCACACUGGAACUGAGACACGGUCCAGACUCCUACGGGAGGCAGCAGUAGGGAAUCUUCCGCAAUGGGCGAAAGCCUGACGGAGCAACGCCGCGUGAGUGAUGAAGGUCUUCGGAUCGUAAAACUCUGUUAUUAGGGAAGAACAAAUGUGUAAGUAACUGUGCACGUCUUGACGGUACCUAAUCAGAAAGCCACGGCUAACUACGUGCCAGCAGCCGCGGUAAUACGUAGGUGG